rnacentral:lncRNA from 1 species
CUACCCGCUACGUAGAUUGGGUAAAUAUAACGGAACGAUUUUAGAAUGUAACGCCUGGGAUGGGUGGCAUCUAUAUAACCCGAGGGCCCACUCUGUUGCAAUCACAACAACUUCUCUCCCCUCGCGCGCUCUCCUCCUCUCGGCUCUCGGCUCUCGACUCUCGACUCUCGGCGAUCUCGUCGUUCUGCGAAGGUCGGAACUGCUCUCCGACGAACACGAACGGGCACAGCUGCGAGGGUCCUUCCCUUCGAUUUUUAUUGCGGUGAUCUCAUUCCUUUCUUUUUUCUCUUGUUUCGUUUCGCUUGGUUCUUCAUCCGUCGAAAUUUUGAUUAGGGUUCAGAAUUUUUGUUGGUCUUGGGGUUCUUUUAAUCGAUUCUUGGUUGUCGACUUUCUUGUGGGAAGAUCGAUCUUUCUGGUUUUCUCGAUCGUUUUUCGUCACCUAGCCAGUCUCGUUCUGGUUUCGAUUGGAAAAUAUGUCUUCUUCGCGUUCUAGGCGUGUGGAGUACGACCGCUUCAUCCCGUUCCGGUCGGCGAUGGACAUGGACUACGCACGCUUUGCCCUAACCGGGCCUUCGAGACCGCAGCGUGAUGC